rnacentral:rRNA from 1 species
UACGUAGGGCGCGAGCGUUGUCCGGAUUUAUUGGGCGUAAAGAGCUCGUAGGCGGCUUGUCGCGUCGACUGUGAAAAACCCGAGGCUCAACUUCGGGCUUGCAGUCGAUACGGGCAGGCUAGAGUUCGGUAGGGGGAGACUGGAAUUCCUGGUGUAGCGGUGAAAAUGCGCAGAUAUCAGGAGGAACACCGAUGGCGAAGGCAGGUCUCUGGGCCGAUACUGACGCUGAGGAGCGAAAGCGUGGGGAGCGAACAGG